rnacentral:tRNA from 2 species
AGAGAGUUAGACAUCGGUUUGGUCAGGCUCAUAACCUGAAGGUCGUAGGUUCAAAUCCUACCCCCGCAACCA